GCGAUCGUAGUUAAAUGGUAUAAUACGGCCUUGCCAAGAAUUUUAUGAAAACGCAAAUAGGCUGUGUCGCGGGUUCGAUUCCCGCCGAUCGCA
rnacentral:tRNA from 1 species